UGAUAGAGGUGCGAACGUCAAGAGUACGGCCCCCAUUCAAACACAGGCACGCGGGGCGGGGAAGGGGCGUUUGCCGAGGUUCGGUCUGCCCCGCCUGAGGGGGCCGCCGCGCCGGGCCGUGGGAGAACAUCCCCCGGACUGUCGCCCGCGCAGAGAUGCCGGGCGGAGCGCUGUCGU
rnacentral:ncRNA from 1 species